GCGUUUGAGCCACGCCUGUGUCACACUCCUGCCUCUCUGGUCCGUCUUCCCUCAGACUCCUUUCUGCUCUCCAGUCUUCUCCAUCUCCUUCUCGACCAAGGAAGCGGAAUGGAGGUCUGCUCCUGGACUUCGAAGUUUGACUAAAGCAGAGGGUCCUGGUGACGAACUCCCCGGGUUGGAAGACAGAACAGCAGGAAGAUGGAUGAGUGAAGAAAGCAAGACAUCCCCGGGAAGAGGUAUGUUCACUGAUCCUUGAACUUCAGGAGUACAGUUCUACAGUGAUGGUCAUCAGCGUACAUACUGUGUGUAGUUGUACAAGAAGGAUAUUCACACAGAGUGUUGGGGAAUGGAUGGCAAGGCCAGCCACUCAGUCAAACAGCCAAGGUUUUGGCCCGUCGUACACCAACCCUGGACCUGGUAUUUUCUGCCAAACCUGGCACAUUAUAAGAAACGUUUUUUUGUUUGUUUGUUUGUUUGUUUGUUUGUUUGUUUCUCUCUCUCUCUCUUAGGGGAUAAUUUGUAGCCUUGAAAUUCAAUUAAUGGUUUUCAGAAUCAUCUUCAGGAAAGAAAUCCCAUCCAAAGGAUAAUCUCAAAACAGUAGUAAAAUGGAUACAAGCAAUUAACAAUGGUAUCUCCCAAUCACUGGCGAAGUUCUACUCCAUCCCUUCCCCUUCUCUGCUUUAUUUUCCAAGUUCUAAGGUUCAAGUGAAUUCGGGAAUUGUGACAGAAUCUUGUGUGAUGGAAAGGUGGGUGCAGGACAAUGAAAUAAAUGCCUACAGAAAAGCAACCUUCAGACCCAACCGAGUGCAAGUCACAUGCUUGGUCAUCACCUGCACAGAUGUUAAGCACAUUCUACUUGAACUUAUCUGCAUGUUCUGAAGGAGCCGUGAAUCAGCCGUUCUGCAUACUUUGUGAGGGACAAAUACCUUCCUGCCUAGGAAUGCGCUUGUCCUUUGGCCGCUAAAGCUUUCCCUUGCAAACGGUGGAGGACCCCUGGCUCCAGUUGGCUGGGAAACAAGGACAUACAUUUACCACCAUCUGUAACUGGAGUUCAAAGCCCCAGAUCAGGCUAAUCUGAGGCUCCAUAAAGUCAUCAGGAAACCACA